rfam:Edhazardia aedis TSNM 41457 supercont1.25, whole genome shotgun sequence.
GCUUCAGUAGCUCAGUCGGUAGAGCACUCGGCUUUUAACCGAGUGGCCCAGGGUUCAAGUCCCUGUUGGAGUG